rnacentral:rRNA from 1 species
CCUACGGGUGGCAGCAGUGAGGAAUAUUGGUCAAUGGGCGCGAGCCUGAACCAGCCAAGUCGCGUGAGGGAAGACGGUCCUAUGGAUUGUAAACCUCUUUUGUCGGGGAGCAAAAGACGCCACGCGUGGCGUUCCGAGAGUACCCGAAGAAAAAGCAUCGGCUAACUCCGUGCCAGCAGCCGCGGUAAUACGGAGGAUGCGAGCGUUAUCCGGAUUUAUUGGGUUUAAAGGGUGCGCAGGCGGAAGAUCAAGUCAGCGGUAAAAUUGAGAGGCUCAACCUCUUCGAGCCGUUGAAACUGGUUGUCUUGAGUGAGUGAGAAGUAGGCGGAAUGCGUGGUGUAGCGGUGAAAUGCAUAGAUAUCACGCAGAACUCCGAUUGCGAAGGCAGCAUACCGGAGCUCAACUGACGCGCAUGCACGAAAGUGUGGGUAUCGAACAGGAUUAGAUACCCUGGUAGUC